AACACUACUGAAACACUCUUACAUACACUACUGAAACACUCUUAUAAACACUACUGAAACACUCUUAUAAACACUACUGAAACACUCUUAUAAACACUACUGAAAUGUUUUUGUCUCACGCACACACACGCACACACCUGGAAUUAUUUUUCACUAGUAUGUAUAAACGGAUUUCACCUGUGUGUGUGUGUGCUUUUUACACGUGCGUGUGAGAGACAACAAUUUCAGUAGUAUGUGUGCAAAGAUUUCAGUUAUAUGUAUGAGCGAAUCUUACCAGUGUGUAUGCAAGCAUCUUACUAGUGUGUGUGAGCGAUGUUGCAUUCCGGUUCCGGUCACCAAUAAUCCCCGCCCCUUUUCAGACAAGUUUUUUUUUUUUUUUUUUAAAGCCAAGUUGUGGACAAAAUGUCUGCGGACAAGUAGCUUAACCGAGGUGGGAGCUCCACUUCAUAAUUUGAGGGCUUCAGCUGAGAAUAUAAGAACACUUUCAAUGCAACAAGGGUCGGGCUGCCGCCGUGCAGGACGCGGCACCUGAGCGGCCACACAGGUGCCUUUCUCCUCCCGACAGCCAAGCAGCCUGGAGCAAAUCUUACCUUGCGAGUUUACGCUGCAGCAUCAUCAAGUGCAACGUUUCAGUUCAUGGACAUCGAAGCAAGAGGAGGAAAAGAGUCACCACGCAGCUGCAUGACCAUUUCAACAAAGACGGAAUAAACAACCUCUGGAUUCAUGGAACUUCUCUGCACACAAAUAUAUUAAUUGGAAUAUUCAAUAAAUUUCACAUAGAAA